AUGGAAGCCAAAGAAAAAACCCCUGAAGUAACCAAUCUACCUACUGAACCUAAGCCUUCUUCUGAAGUAGCUCAUCCUGCUGAUCCUGCAAAAAGGAGAAGUAUGGUUUCUAAAGUUAUUGAGCAUGAGGAAGAAAAGAAAGAGGAAUGGAGGAGUGUCAACAAAAGUGCAAGAGAUAGAGGCAAAAGAAUGAAUGAAGGAUCACCAAGUCAUGAGAAAGGGUUUCCGCAACAAUUUGUAAAGUGGAAUGCUACCAAGGUAAAAUGA